AGCUUUGCACAGUGGCAGUAUUGUAGCCAAUGAGGUUUAUCCAAGGCACGAUUAUUCCUAAUUGAAAUACCUUUAACCUAUGGAAGAGUAUGAUUAAUUUAUAGGACUCCCCUUAAGAGU
rnacentral:snRNA from 1 species